AAAAACCUUCGGCUGCCGUUCCCACUUCGGCAAACACCGGCGAAGCCGUGCCGAACGACGGCCGUAUGGCUGCCGGCACUGUGGCAGAGCCAUCACCGGCGCCUCCGACCUCUACCGGAGCCAACGGGUCCACCUGGAGACCACCACAGCCACCAACGCGGCACCAAAACCCAACGUGGCGUCACCAAAACCCAACAUGACCACCAACAUGGCACCGAAACCCAACAUGACCACCAACACGGCACCAAAACCCAACACGGCAUCACCAAAACCCAACA
rnacentral:lncRNA from 1 species